rnacentral:sRNA from 12 species
CCGCAAGCCGUGUUAACCGGACGUGGCAGGGAUGAUGAACGAAGGGUUUUUCCGGUUUCUCCUUGCGGCCGCGAAAUGGCAGGCGAGCAUCCAACCUGUCCGGCUU